rnacentral:rRNA from 1 species
AUUGAACGCUGGCGGCAGGCCUAACACAUGCAAGUCGAGCGGAGCGGCGGACGGGUGAGUAAGUCAUAGGAAUCUGCCUGGUCGUGGGGGAUAAGGUCCGGAAAAGGGCGCUAAUACCGCAUACUAUCAGAUGAGGCUAGGUGGGUUUAGCUAGUUGGUGGGGUAAAGGCCUACCAAGGCGACGAUCCGUAACUGGGCUGAGAGGAUGAUCAGUCACACUGGAACUGAUACACGGUCCAGACGCCUACGAGAGGCAGCAGUGGGGAAUAUUGGACAAUGGGCGAAAGCCUGAUCCAGCCAUGCCGCGUGUGUGAAGAAGGUCUUCGGAUUGUAAAGCACUUUAAGUUGGGAGGCGUUACCAACAGAAUAAGCACCGGCUAACUUCGUGCCAGCAGCCGCGGUAAUAC